UAACGUCCUGCCAAACCCGUCCU
rnacentral:siRNA from 1 species